GGUCACGAUCGUCAGCGCCCGCGCGGCUCGUCCCGCGCGUGGUUCAUCGGCCCCGGCCCGCUGACAGGCAACCCUUCGACCGCGAUGGGGUGCCCCGGGUGACGACCUGGUCCCGCCACGGCGGCGGGACAAGCGCGGCCC
rnacentral:ncRNA from 2 species